GCAAGUCGAACGAGAAAGGGUGCCUUCGGGUGCCCCGGUAAAGUGGCGCACGGGUGAGUAACACGUGGAUAAUCUACCUCCGGGUGGAGGAUAACGCUCCCGAAAGGGGCGCUAAUACUGCAUAAGACCACGUCCUGAAAUGGAUGAGGUCAAAGCCGGCCUCUAUAUAUAAGCUGGCGCCUGGAGAUGAGUCCGCGGCCCAUCAGGUUGAUGGUAGGGUAAUGGCCUACCAUGCCUAAGACGGGUAGCUGGUCUGAGAGGAUGAUCAGCCACACUGGAACUGAGACACGGUCCAGACUCCUACGGGAGGCAGCAGUGGGGAAUCUUGCGCAAUGGGCGAAAGCCUGACGCAGCGACGCCGCGUGAGUGAUGAAGGCCUUAGGGUUGUAAAGCUCUGUGGAGAGGGACGAAUAAGGUACGGUUAAUACCCGUAUUGAUGACGGUACCUCCUUAGCAAGCACCGGCUAACUCUGUGCCAGCAGCCGCGGUAAGACAGAGGGUGCAAACGUUGUUCGGAAUUACUGGGCGUAAAGCGCGUGUAGGCUGUUUUGCAAGUCGGGUGUGAAANCCCAGGGCUCAACCUUGGAAGUGCACUCGAAACUGCAAGACUAGAAUCUCGGAGAGGGUAGCGGAAUUCUGGGUGUAGAGGUGAAAUUCGUAGAUAUCCAGAGGAACACCGGU
rnacentral:rRNA from 1 species